GGACGAACGCUGGCGGCGUGCUUAACCCAUGCAAGUCGAACGGAAAGGCCCUGCUUUUGUGGGGUGCUCGAGUGGCGAACGGGUGAGUAACCCGUGAGUAACCUGCCCUUGACUUUGGGAUAACUUCAGGAAACUGGGGCUAAUACCGGAUAGGAGCUCCUGCUGCAUGGUGGGGGUUGGAAAGUUUCGGCGGUUGGGGAUGGACUCGCGGCUUAUCAGCUUGUUGGUGGGGUAGUGGCUUACCAAGGCUUUGACGGGUAGCCGGCCUGAGAGGGUGACCGGCCACAUUGGGACUGAGAUACGGCCCAGACUCCUACGGGAGGCAGCAGUGGGGAAUAUUGCACAAUGGGCGGAAGCCUGAUGCAGCAACGCCGCGUGCGGGAUGACGGCCUUCGGGUUGUAAACCGCUUUCGCCUGUGACGAAGCGUGAGUGACGGUAAUGGGUAAAGAAGCACCGGCUAACUACGUG
rnacentral:rRNA from 1 species